rnacentral:rRNA from 1 species
ACUGCUAUCGGGGUGGGACUAGAACAUGCGAGUCGAGCGUUUCUAGCUAUGUUGAGACGCGGCAUACGGCUCAGUAACACGUGGCUAACCUACCCUCAGGACGGGGACAAACCCGGGAAACUGGGGCUAAUAUCCGAUAGGCGAGGAAUCCUGGAAUGGUUCUUCACCCAAAGGACAUUGGAAACAUGCUUUCUCUGUCGCCGGGGGAUGGGGCCGCGACCGAUCAGGUUGUUGGUGAGGUAAUGGCUCACCAAGCCUAUAACCGGUACGGGCCGUGAGAGCGGUAGCCCGGAGAUGGGUACUGAGACAAGGACCCAGGCCCUACGGGGCGCAGCAGUCGCGAAAACUCCGCAAUGCACGAAAGUGUGACGGGGCUACCCCGAGUGCCGUCCGCUGAGGAUGGCUUUUCCUUGGUGUAACUAGCCGGGGGAAUAAGGAGAGGGCAAGACUGGUGUCAGCCGCCGCGGUAAUACCAGCUCUCCGAGUGGUAGGGAUGAUUAUUGGGCUUAAAGCGUCCGUAGCCGGCUUAGCAAGUCUCCUGUUAAAUUCAGCGACCUAAUCGUUGACCCGCGGGAGAUACUACUAGGCUAGGAGGCGGGAGAGGUCGACGGUACUUCUGGGGUAGGGGUGAAAUCCUAUAAUCCCGGGAGGACCACCAGUGGCGAAGGCUGUCGACUAGAACGCGCUCGACGGUGAGGGACGAAAGCUGGGGGAGCGAACCGGAUUAGAUACCCGGGUAGUCCCAGCUGUAAACGAUGCGGGCUAGGUGUUGGGGUGGCUACGUGCCACUUCAGUGCCGCAGGGAAGCCAUUAAGCCCGCCGCCUGGGGAGUACGGCCGCAAGGCUGAAACUUAAAGGAAUUGGCGGGGGAGCACCACAAGGCGUGAAG